rnacentral:misc_RNA from 1 species
GAUGAAGAACGUAGCGAAAUGAGAUAAGUAAUGUGAAUUGCAGAAUUCAGUGAAUCAUCGAAUCUUUGAACGCACAUUGCGCCCGCUAGUAUUCUGGCGGGCAUGCCUGUCCGAGCGUCAUUUCAACCCUCAAGCCCCCGGGCUUGGUGUUGGGGAUCGGCGAGCCUCCGCGCCCGCCGUCCCCUAAAUCUAGUGGCGGUCUCGCUGUAGCUUCCUCUGCGUAGUAGCACACCUCGCACUGGGAAACAGCGCGGCCACGCCGUUAAACCCCCAACUUCUGAACGUUUGACCUCGGAUCAGGUAGGAAUACCCGCUGAACUUAAGCAUAUCAAUAAGCGGAGGA